GCCCGGGUGACGGAAUAGGUAGACGUAGCGCGCUUAAAACGCGUCGCCGAACAGGCGUGUGGGUUCGAAUCCCGCCCUGGGCACCA
rnacentral:tRNA from 1 species